rnacentral:rRNA from 1 species
GUGCACGCUGGCGGUAGGCCUAACCCCUGCAAGUCGAACGGCAGCACAGUAAGCGCUUGCUCUUACGGGUGGCGAGUGGCGGACGGGUGAGGAAUACAUCGGAAUCUACUUUUUCGUGGGGGAUAACGUAGGGAAACUUACGCUAAUACCGCAUACGACCUACGGGUGAAAGCAGGGGAUCUUCGGACCUUGCGCGAUUGAAUGAGCCGAUGUCGGAUUAGCUAGUUGGCGGGGUAAAGGCCCACCAAGGCGACGAUCCGUAGCUGGUCUGAGAGGAUGAUCAGCCACACUGGAACUGAGACACGGUCCAGACUCCUACGGGAGGCAGCAGUGGGGAAUAUUGGACAAUGGGCGCAAGCCUGAUCCAGCCAUACCGCGUGGGUGAAGAAGGCCUUCGGGUUGUAAAGCCCUUUUGUUGGGAAAGAAAAGCAGCAGGUUAAUACCCCGCUGUUCUGACGGUACCCAAAGAAUAAGCACCGGCUAACUUCGUG